rnacentral:rRNA from 1 species
AUCUUCCGCAAUGGGCGAAAGCCUGACGGAGCAACGCCGCGUGAGUGAUGAAGGGUUUCGCCUCGUAAAACUCUGUUAUUAGGGUAGAACAAAUGUGUAAGUAACUGUGCACAUCUUGACGGUACCUAAUCAGAAAGCUACGGCUAACUACGUGCCAGCAGCCGCGGUAAUACGUAGGUGGCAAGCGUUAUCCGGAAUUAUUGGGCGUAAAGCGCGCGUAGGCGGUUUCUUAAGUCUGAUGUGAAAGCCAGCGGCUCAACCGUGGAGGGUCAUUGGAAACUGGGAAACUUGAGUACAGAAGAGGAAAGUGGAAUUCCAUGUGUAGCGGUGAAAUGCGCAGAGAUAUGGAGGAACGCCAGUGGCGAAGGCGACUUUCUGGUCUGUAACUGACGCUGAUGUGCGAAAGCGUGGGGAUCAAACA